GGGACCAACAACGCGACAGCAGAUGCACAGAAGCCUCACCUGGACUGCCCUUAUCUGACUAGCACCAACUGCCACCCCAACAACCCUCGCCCCCACCCCUCCAGGGGGGCCUCAGUCAGGGAGGCACUGAUGGGCACAGGGACAUUCCCAGAGAAAUUGUGUAAGCCAGCCUCAUCAGAACCAUCUGUCCUUUGAAGUUCUAAGCCCCUCCACGCCUUGUUAAAUUGAUACCGCUCCUAAGGCCCAGAGAUGUCGAGCAGUUUGCCCAAGGUCAGCGAGCAUUCUGGGCCUCUGGGGUCCUUGGCCAGGGCUGCUGCGGCUGGACAGGAUUAUGUGUCUGAGCUCUGGCUAUGCGCCACCCAGAGGGUUUGACCAGAGCUGCUGCCAAACACAGCCCCUGGGCUGUGUCCACCUCUGCUGUCUACAACUGUGGGGCCACUAGCCAUGGAUCUUGGCGCUCUCCCCACCCCAUCUUAUCCCCAAAGCCACUUCAAACCCUGCUCCUCUCCUGCAUACAUCUCAGGAGUUGAGCUAUCCUUUAAUAACCUGGACCUGCUGGUUGGAGUUGCUGUGUUCACUGCAGUCUUGCUCAUGUUGGCUAUUGGCCCACGUGGCUCUUGACAAGAACCUACAUUAAGAAGGAAAAUUCUGAGUCAGAAUGUGGCACCACAGAAACACCUGCCUAUAGCACCUGCUUUUGAUCCGAUGGACUUCUGCAGACACCUUCCCUUCAACCCCUCCCAGCUUUAGUCCCAUGCCAAGGUUCCAGAUGGUGCUCAAGGCAAGAAUAUACCUAGAAACAGGGAAAUGCAGAUGUGGGAGGAGCAAUCAGAGAGGCUCUGGGGAUAGCUGCUGCCUCUAGAAAGGAGGGUGGGAGGAGAAUUGUCCUUUGGAGGUAAAAACCUCACCGUGCCAUCAAAUCACACACUCUUAAUCUAGGAAGAACUGCCUUGAAUCUGAUCUUGCCUGUCACUUCUGUUCUCUCUGAGUCCACUGUGUUGUAGUUCCUGACUCUCCCUGGGGAGAAGGCCCUGUGUGUGUGUGUGUGUGUGUGUGUGUGUGUGUGUACGUGGUGGUGGUGAUGGGGACCUUGCCUCAGGACUCAGCCUAUAAUCCUGGCAAAGGGCUGAGGUAGACUUCUGGUGACCCAGACACUCCAGGUGAGGAGUGUGGUCCACAGAAGGUGUCUAGCAGAUGAAGAAGCAUAUGGUACCAACUUAUAAAUUGCACAAGUUUUCCAGUAGAGUUUAACAUGGUCUAGAAAACGAAACCUCAGCACUUCUCUGUCUUUUUAGGGAAAAAGAAACUCCCCUAAAAGUAGAGAGUGAGAACUCUGGAUUCUUUUCCCUUGAUACUUGGUUAUAUUUUAUUGGAUUAUGAAUUUGUUGUUAUGGAGACAUUCUGCCUUCUGUUCUAUUUCCACCACCACAUGUUGGUUGAUACCAGAGCCCUAUAGCUUUCUCUAAGUAAAAAAGAAACACUUUUGUGUAUUAAAAUAAAUACAACUCUGUGGCUCAUCUUUUUAAAAUCUACCAGUAGUCUUUGGCUCUUAAUCUUUUAAAAACGAGGCCAGUCACCAUUUGUU